UCCACCAAUUUCAUAUUUCCAAUAAAACAAAAACUUUUCAAUCCUUUCUUUCACUCUCUAAAUUUCGGCUAGAACACCAUCACCAUCUUCAUUUUUUUUUUCAAAUCUCAAACAUAAGUAAAUCAUGCUCAUAUGGAGGUUUAUGGAUGAAACAAGAUACUAGGAAGAUAAGUAAAGCUAUUUGGAGCAUUUUGGUGGAACUAGAAGCCCUUAGAUCACCAAGAUUUUCUCAUCUUAAUCCAUAUUUUCUAGCAAAAUUGAGAUUAGUGGACGGCUUUGGAAAAAUAUGUUCAAGUGGUUAUCAAGAACGCAAGCUUUUGUGAUUUCAUCCGUCUUCGAUUGUUAUGUUUUGAACUUUUAAUAAUGUAGUUAAAGUUGUUUCAAGUUUCAAACAAGACAUAUGUAAUGUAAACUAUGGUUUCGAAUCAAAUGUAUGGAUGAACAUCUUCUAUGUU